CCAAAAAAGAGGACCGCCUGGACUUCUUCUUCUUCACACCCUAAGAGACCACCGAUCUCCAGCUACCACUGACCCCAUCUCCCCCACCAACGGCUUCCAACAACACCCCUGAUCUCAUUCCCCUACAUACGCCAAAGAUAAAAAAGGGAACGAAACACGCACACAUAGAAAAAAGGGGAAGAACGACGGAGACUAAGAAAGGAAAACUUGGGGAAAAGCCUAGAGGACCUUGAGCUUAAUUUUGGGGGUUCUGCCUUUUCUUCUUUUGUUUCUCAAUUUCAAAAAAAGAAGACCAAAAAUUCUGGUUCUAGUUCCCAAAACCAAAAAAUGCAAAUUCAUUUUUUUUGUCUCCAGAUUCGAAAUAUAAAAAAAAAAUACUUCAAUUUUGUUCUCUUCGAUCUUCGCUCCUGAAGUUUGUUUGAGGUUUUAGAGCUUGAGUUCGAGUGACCCAACGUGGUUCGGUUUCGGUUCAAGGUCCGGCCAGAGGCAUGAAUCAAUUUUCAAUUUAGUGCAAGUUUUGCUGUCAACUUUUGCUUUUCGGUGUCGUACUCAGAGGCAUUCGUAAAGCAAUUUUGGUUUCAAAGGUAGGAAAAGGAGGUGUGACACUCAACAUGCGCUAAACUGGGAUUCGUUUCUUCAUCACGAGGCCUUUCUUCGAUUCCGAAGAGAGCUGAGCCGGUACAAGGCCGAGGUCCGAGGGCUCACCGAGAAAAGGGAUGCUUACAAACUUCUCAGUGAGUAGAGAGAUGGGGAGGUUAAGGGCCUCCGAGCUGAAUUAGAGAUGGCUCAAAAAGAGGAUGCCGAUCUGGUCGAGCAGGUAAAAAGAAUCUUUGAAGUUACCGAUGAUGAAUCGGGCGUGGUGACUAACGGUCUGAACCCCCAGGUCCAACAAAAGAUCGGUAUAAUCAGGCAGCUUCGAGAAGAGGUGGAUGCAGUAAAGGAUGAGGCCUACAAACGGAAAAAGAACAUGAACCGUCUGGCCUCGGAAAAGGAGACUGAUCGGGCCCAACUGACAUCGACUGAAGUCCAACUUCGAGGUAUAAAAGAGAAGUCCUUGGCGCAAGCCAAGAAGAUCGAGGAGCUUCAGUCCUAGUUGAAUUCGGCAAUUUCUGAUUGGAAAAGCCUGGUCAUGGAACUCGAAGCGGCCAAGUCGGAAGCCAAAGCAGUUAAGGCCAAUACUGAUGAGGUGGUGGCUGUUUACAAGGCCGAUGCCGAGGGUGCUCAGGCUCGAGCGAAAGAUAUCUUCGAGUAUGCCAAACGUCAAUCUCGAAGGGAGACCCUUGAGGAAAUCCAUGCUCAUGGUUUCGACCUCUCAACCGAGAUUGAGAACGCCAAGGAGCUCGAAGAUGAGGCUAGGAGGUUAGCUUGUCCCCAGGAUGAUGAUGACUCCAAGGGCUUAUGCGAAGCCGAAGGAUGGAGACGCUGGAGACGCUGCUCCCGAAGAUGACUAGGCCAUUUAGGCUCUUGAAUAGUUUUUGUUUCUUUUGAGGCUGCUCGGCCUUUGUAAAGAACUUCCAUCGGGCCGUAUUUCCCUUGUAAAAGAUUUUGAUGUAUAUAUAUAAAACUU